GAAAAAAAAAACAUGAAAGUCAACAAAUUAAAAAAAGACAGACAUGACAGGACUUACAUGAGUUAAUUACCUAAAAAUACUUGAAUUCAGUUCAUUUCAUUAAAUACAUAUGUGGACAAAAUUUGCACCCAUUUGUUAAUAAAAAGAUAAAACUCAAGUGUGUCCUGUAAUCAACAUCACAGGUGUCUUCAUUUGUAAUCAGUCUGCCUGCUUAAAAGGUGACAGGUGGCCACAGCACUGUUUGGUAUCAUGGUGUGGGGGAAAAAAAAACACUGAACAUGGAGCACCAAAGGCUGAGGAGCAAGUGUCUCAGGAUGAAGACAAUGAUUGACAUCAUGCUAAAAGGUCAAGUCUAUAAGAGCAUCUCCACGUUGGUUAAUGUUCCUGUAAYUACAGCUGCUCAGACCAAUCAGAAGUUUAAGGUCCACAGGACUGAAGACAACCUCCCUGGAUGUGUUUAUAAGAGGACAACUGAUGACAAACUGAAGAGAAAUACAAUACAAAGAGCCCAGAACAUCUUUUAAAGAGAUUAGAGGUGGUGAGGGUGAAGGUUUGDCCCCAGCAGUAUCUGCAGUGUUGCCCCCUCCUGAUUAUCCCACCUCACAGUGACCUGCACCUAGUUAAUGGUUCAGAUGUUAAGUUAUGUUUGAAUAUUUUGUUCUUUUAUUAAAAUAAUAAAACUCA